rnacentral:rRNA from 1 species
UACGGAGGGGGCUAGCGUUGUUCGGAAUGACUGGGCGUAAAGCGCGCGUAGGCGGAUCAGCAAGUCAGGGGUGAAAGCCCGGGGCUCAACCCUGGAAUGGCCUUUGAUACUGUUGGUCUUGAGUUCGAGAGAGGUGGGUGGAAUUCCGAGUGUAGAGGUGAAAUGCGCAGAUAUCAGGAGGAACACCGGUGGCGAAGGCGGGACUCUGGGCCGAUACUGACGCUGAGGAGCGAAAGCGUGGGGAGCAAACAGG